rnacentral:rRNA from 1 species
GACAGAGGUCCCGAGCGUUAGGCGGAAUCACUGGGCUUAAAGCGUGUGUAGGCGGACGGGUAAGUACCUUGUGAAAUCCCACGGCUCAACCGUGGAACUGCUUGGUAUACUGCCUGUCUUGAGCCAGCUAGGGGCAACCGGAACAAAUGGUGGAGCGGUGAAAUGCGUAGAUAUCAGGAGGAACACCGGUGGCGAAGGCGGGUCUCUGGGCCGAUACUGACGCUGAGGAGCGAAAGCGUGGGGAGCGAACAGG